rnacentral:ncRNA from 2 species
UGUGGGAGCGGGCUUGCUCGCGAAGGCGUCGGGUCAGCUACCUACUACAGUGACUGACACACCGCCUUCGCGAGCAAGCCCGCUCCCACA